GGUUCCUACGGGGGGCAGCAGUGGGGAAUAUUGGGCAAUGGGCGCAAGCCUGACCCAGCAACGCCGCGUGAAGGAAGAAAGCUUUCGGGUUGUAAACUUCUUUUAUUCGGGACGAAGAAAGUGACGGUACCGAAUGAAUAAGCCACGGCUAACUAAGUGCCAGCAGCCGCGGUAAUACGUAGGUGGCAAGCGUUAUCCGGAUUUAUUGGGUGUAAAGGGCGUGUAGGCGGGAAGGCAAGGCAGAUG
rnacentral:rRNA from 1 species